GAACGCGAAGAACCUUACCCACCUUUGACAUGUAUGGAAUUUGCCAGAGAUGGCUUAGUGCUCGAAAGAGAGCCAUAACACAGGUGCUGCAUGGCUGUCGUCAGCUCGUGUCGUGAGAUGUUGGGUUAAGUCCCGCAACGAGCGCAACCCUUGUCAUUAGUUGCUACAUUUAGUUGGGCACUCUAAUGAGACUGCCGGUGACAAACCGGAGGAAGGUGGGGAUGACGUCAAGUCCUCAUGGCCCUUAUAGGUGGGACUACACACGUCAUACAAUGGCUGGUACAGAGGGUUGCCAACCCGCAAGGGGGAGCUAAUCCCAUAAAGCCAGUCGUAGUCCGGAUCGCAGUCUGCAACUCGACUGCGUGAAGUCGGAAUCGCUAGUAAUCGCGGAUCAGCAUGUCGCGGUGAAUACGUUCCCGGGUCUUGUACACACC
rnacentral:rRNA from 1 species